CUUUUCUAGGGCCACUCCCGAGGCAUAUGGAGGUUCCCAGGAUAGGGGUCUAAUCAGAGCUGUAGCUGCCAGCCUACGCCAGAGCCACAGCAACGCAGGAUCCGAGCCGCAUCUGCGACCUUCACCACAGCUCAUGGCAACGCCGGGUCCCCAACCCACUGAGCAAGGCCAGGGAUCGAACCUGCAACCUCAUAGUUCCUAGUCAGAUUCGUCAACCACUGCACCACAACGGGAACUCCAGGCUACACUUUUUAUUGCAAUUGCUACCUUGAAUUCAUAUGCCAAAUUCCUGCAAGCUGGCUGUUCCCAUCCUGCCAUCCCACUCCAACCGAAACUGCAAGUUUCAGAAGGCCAAAACAGAAAUCAUUUUCCUCCCAAACCUGCUUUCUGCUUAAUGGUGCCACUAUCCAUCCAAGCCAGAAAUCUGGGAGUCAUGCUUAAUUCCAGUCUCUCCAGCACUUUGUCAUGAUCACAUUGUCAAUGCAAUUUCACAAGUGUCACUGAAACUUGUCCUCUCCUUUUUCUCUGCACUGCCACUGCCUUAGUUCCAAUUCCAUCACCUCUCAUGAGCUUCACUGCUCCAAGCUAUUAAUCUCUGAAUCUAGAUUUCUUCCCCUCAACCUCAAAUUCACUCCCUGCCUUCUGCUAUUCUGGAGUCUUAUUUCUAAAAACUUAUCUUAAUCCCCAAUAUAAAAACUUUCUAAAGCUCCCAUUUGCCUUCAGGAUUAAGAUCAAAAUACUCAACAUGGAAUGACAAGCCCUCAGCAAUCUGCCUCCUAUCAGAGCUUUCAACCAGAACUCUUCACACACUGCCUUCUCUCCAUCUUCAUUAACCAGCAGGCUCCCUCAGGACUAGCUGUGGGACCUCUCAUACUCCUCACUCGCCUUCCACUCCUUCUCUGCCUAGGAGAGUCAUCCUACUCGUCCUUUGCGAUGCAGCUCAAAGACCAUCUCCUCCGAGAAUCUUAGAAGUAUUCGAGGCUCACCACCCUGUUAGCCAUUGCUCUUUGACAAUGCUCAUCACACUGUAUUACAAUCACAGAAUCACUGAUGCUCUAUUUUUCCCACUCGACGUGACCCUUGUGGAAGACGGUUCACAUUUUCCACACCUCUGAAUCACUGCCCCUAGCAAAGAGCCUUAGGUUCAGCGAUGCUAGAAAUUAAUGAUGUCACAGAAGUCUGCAUUACAUCAUCAAGCAUCAUCCAUUUUUACAGCAUUGUAUUCAGUUUUCCCCACUACUAUAUUUCUUUGAAUCAUAAGAUGCUGUCAAUGACUCAUCCCAAUUUCAGAAAUGUUAAGAAGUGAAAUACUGUGGUCUACAAAAUAAGCACAUUAUUUAAGUAACAGAUUAUAAACUUUAUCCUUAGUCAUCAGACUAAGAAGACAGUUUAAAAAUCCAAGUGUUGGAAAAUAACCUAAAAUAACUUAUAAAUGAAGAGAACACACAUAUGUUAUCUUAAAAUAUUACAAUCUCUUUCCUUUGAAAUGUUCAUUAAGGAACUCUUUGUUCUGUAUCCUUAUUGUGGUAGCCAGAACACAAAUCCAUAUCUAUUAAAAUUCAUAGAACUGUAAAAACAAAAUCAUGGAAGGCAUUGUAAAAUCUCCAUUAAAUAUGGCCCAUUUCUCCCCUCCCCCAACACUUCCAUGGACCUCAUCAGAAACCAAAAAAGACACUUGCUUCUCCCCUGACACUCAGUCCAUCUCAUGAGCGAUGACUCUGAAAUCUGGAGACACUCGUCUCCAGGCCCUGCCCCCGCUCCCCGCUCUCCACAUCCCAGACCAGGCUUCCAGCUGCUCACACAGGUCCUGUUCCCCUUACAGCCAAUUCUCUCAUCCCAGCUUUCCCAGCCCUGUGGCCACCAGCUCAAACCCACCUCUCUCCUCUCCCUCUCAACCUCCUCCCACUUCAUGCCAUCAACCAUAUGAUCAUCUCUCAUCCACUGCACCCUCUGAAAUAUGGGCUCAAUAGAGUGGGGAUAAGCGGAAAAGGAUUUGGCUUUUGUUCUGAUACUUUUAUCUACCAGGGCACAUAGGGUCUGCUUUGAGUGGUUAAAAACCACCUGAAUAUGAUAAGCACAGAACCUGGAAAUAAUCAGAUUUUCCUUGGGAAAAUGAACCAGCCUCAAUACUGGGGGAGGAGUGGGGGGCUAAGGGUUGGAACAAGCCUCACAAGAAGCAAGAAGCUUGAAAAUGUCACCAGCCCACACUUGUGGCUGUAUGUGAACAACCCACUGUAUCCUAGAAAUUUCCACACAUGCUUCAUUUGCUUGCCAGAAUGCCUAAAGGAAUCUGAAGGCAAUCGUAGGAGGACCCAUGCAGUCCAACCUACUUAUCACCUGAAUACAAGGAAUGUUCAGAUGGUGCUCACUUCGGCAGCACAUAUACUAAAAUUGGAACAAUACAGAGAAGAUUAGCAUGGCUCCUGCGCAAGGAUGAUACACAAAUUCGUGAAGCGUUCCAUAUUUAAAAAAAAAAAAAAGAA
rnacentral:lncRNA from 1 species